CUCAAUGGCGGGCCGUGCAGGGAAGGCCAAGGCCUUGCCGGGUUUUCCUCGCGUAACCGGUUUGCGACCCCUGCACGGUCCGCCGCCCAU
rnacentral:antisense_RNA from 1 species